AAAAAAAAUUUCCAAAAAGGUGACCACAGGGAGAAAAACAUGAAGAUAACCACCAGCUCAGACCCAGCCGGGGCUUGUGGCCAUGCCCACCUGCUCCUGUGUGUCCUGGGCCUCGGGCAAGCCACUCAUCCUCUCCCCACUGUUUCCAGUCUGUAAGCUGGGAUUAGUGACGCUGCCUUCUCAGUUGUGGGAACCUAGAAGGCAGCAAUGGGCCUCUCUCCCUAGGUUGCAACCCGGGGCUGGCACGUAGUAGGUCUGUUUCCAGCUGCCACACACGCUACCUUACCAGGGGUCCCCAAGAGACAGGACAGGGUGAUGGGCCCAUUUCACAGGGGGAAAAACCGAGGCAAAGAAAGGCAGUGGAGACUCGUGCUUCUGCUUCAGUAGCUCCUGCCAUGGACUUGUCAUGGGAACCCCCUCCCACAAGCUCUGUCCCCGGCACCCUCUGGCACUGUUAGCCAGCGGAAUCCAGCUGUCACCAUGGCCUGGUUCUUAGCACCCCUGGGAACUUUUAGAGCCUCUGGCCUGUGCUAACUGAGGUUGGGCAGCUGCUGGCCAGGGCCCUAGAGAGAGGGGUAUCAGGUAGCUAGUGCUGAGUAACAAAUAGCUCCAAACACAUGACUUCACAUGUCCUUAGUAUUAAAGGGCCUGGUGGUACUGCUGCUCAUUGCUAGGCCUGGCAAGUCCUAGCUGGGCUCACUCACACAUCUGUGGGCAGCUGGGAGCUAGCUAGUCCAGGAUGGCCUCAGCUAGGGUGACCCAGGCUCCAUCGCCCUCUUGCCUUCCAGCAAAGCAGCCCAGCCCGUUCUCGUGCUAUAGCAGGAGUCGGGGAGAGCAGGCAGAGGCACGCAUGUCCCUGGAGGCUUAAGCUCAGAGCUGGGAAUGUCAUUGCUGUCACCUUUUAUUGGCCACAGCAAGUCAUAAGACAGGCUCAGAUUGAAGGAUGGGGAAGUAGACGCCACCUCUAGACAGGAGUUGGGGCAAAGUCACACAGCAAAGGGCGUGGUGAUUCAGGGAGGAGUGGGGCAUCGGGGACACGUUUGUAACUGAUCUACCACAGAGGGGAGCCCCCCUUUGAGAAAGUGCUUGGUGGGCCUUGGUGCUUACGCAGCCACGGACCAACCUGCUAGAUGGGGCCUUCAGUAGGGUGGCGGGACGUCAGUUUAGCCUCAGGAUUCGACUCCGAGCCUCUUGCGAGACCACGUCUUGGGCAGCAUCGUAGACCCGGCUGUGAGCACAGAGUGGCUCUUCCAGAAAGUUUGUUGAAUGACUGACUGACCUAAGUCAGUCCCUGUGCCAGGCAGCCCAGAGGGACCAGCCCAGAGCCUCCUUCUCGGGGUGCAAGCCUGGCUUGGGAUUGGGGGGUGUCUGCACUCGUGGAGCCCCCCAUGCCUGCCGGGAGCCUGAAGACGCAGAGACCUCCUGCCUCGCCUCGCCCCCUCCGUGGGGACCCUCUUCCCCACACUCCUUGGUUCCUGUCGGAGCCAAGAUGUGUCACCAUGGAAACCGCUUGGCAAACGCUGGCAGGCAGAGGCGGCCAACAGCAGCUCUCCCGAUCGAGCUCCGGGCACCGGCUGGAGCAACGUCGCGGGACGGCGUGAGCGAGCACACCCAGCCGUGCUGACAGGACCGGCAGAGGUGGCCACUGCCCUCGUCCCCAGCCUGCACUCCUGGGCGAAGGCUGACGCUGAACAGACUCGAAGAUGGAUCUGGCCCUGGUCCCUGCUUUCCCUCUGACCCCAGGCCCACCCGGCAAGAAUGGCUGAAGUCACAUAGCAGCCUGGCCCUGGCCCCUCUGAGCCUGUGGAGAGCCCUAGUUGUCUGUGAUUGGGGAGGGGGGAUCAAGAGACCCAACUGCAUUGCCUGCCCUCCUUCCCAGGCUUCCAGUCCUCCCAGUGGAUCCCACCUCUGCACCUUUGCCCAGGCUGUGCUGAGACCUGGAAGGCCCCUUCUCUCCCUACUCCAUCUUGACAAAGCCUUCCUGCUUCAGCUCAGAGGCACCUCUUCCAGGAAGUUGGCCCUGAUGGCCCCAGUGGAAGGGAAGUUCCUUUCAACUGAGUGGGGAGGCGCCCCACCCUAGCAGCCCCUCCCAGACCCCAAGCAGCCUUGGGGCUCCCCAGGCACUCGCCUGGCAGAACGGAAGCAGGGGUGGCGGCUGAGGUCUGCCACCCUCGCUGAGCGCCCUGCAGCCCCUGUGGUUGCAGUUUUACUUGUUUUGAAAGCCCCAUUAAUGAUCAGAAGUUUGGGAAAGGGGGCCUGGCUGGGCUAGACUGGGGGGACAUGGAGCCCCAGGGACCAGCCAGGCCCCUUUCUGACCAGACCUCUAAUCUGAUGUGAUGGCACCACUGGUGGGUGGGACACAGCUGUCCCCAGAAUGUACCUGGGGGAGGAAUGACUUCACCUCCCCUGCCGGGUGAGUCACCUUCUGGGGGGUGGGGGGGCGGUGGAUGGAAGAGGUCAGGCUGCCUCAUUCCCCUAAGACACUGCUGGGCCUGCUUCCCCUUUUGAGGGCAGAGAAACGUCCCUCCCUCAGCUUGGAAGAGGAAGGGGCCAGAUGCGCUGUCCUGUGCACCUUCCAAAACACCCCCUGACCUCCAGCACCCGGGGACUGCAUUUACCUUUGUUCCCAUUUGUCAGAUGGAGAGGUCGAGGCCUCGGGAGGAGCCGGGCUUCCUCCCCACCCCACUUCUUGCUCCUCUGCUCUCCCCGAUGCCCACUUAGCCCCCACUCCCACCCCGCUCCACACACAGGGACAUAUGAACAUUAAUGGGGACUCCCCAAGCCCUGGCAGGGCCCCCACAGCUGUAUCCAUGGGUCUGUCCGACCCCUGGGUCCAGCCACACCUCUGCCCCCGGGGCCCCACCAGCUCUGUGGGGAGGCGAUGCCAGCUGCAGGCGGGGACAGCGUCGGGGCCAGGGCAGAAGGCCCCAAGCCUCUGAGUCAGCCGGGCAGGAAGGAGGCCAGCAGCCUCUGCCCGCAGCCUGUUCCGUCACGACCCCCCCGCCCCACCCCAGAGUCUCAGCUUCCUCGUUCAGAAGAGGGGCCUAUGCCGUCCUAUGAGAAGUGGGUGGGCACAUGGUGGGUGCUCAGGGAGGACCACAGCCACCCAGACGGGGGUCAGGCCACGUGACGGUGAGGGCCCUCCAUCCUCCCGCCAUCCCCAUCACUGUCCACACCCCCCAGGCAGCUGCUCUGCUGACUCAGGACCGUCCAAGGCCAAGGUGGGGUCACAGCCCUGCCAGCCGCCCCCAAGGCCAGGGUAGCCCCCAGCCAGGCUUAGAGUAAGGGGGUCUCUGCAGGCCCAUUCAGCACGUCAGCACUCUUCUGGAGGGGGCAGCGACGGGGGAGGGCAAGGCACCCCCCCAUAGAGAGGCACUUUUCACAGUGUGUCGUCUCCUUGGAGCAGAGUGGGGGGUGCAGAGGCACCAGGAGGGGGACCUGGAGCCCUGGGGUCGGGGGAAGCAGGGUCAGGCCAGAGCAGGAACUUGCAAGGGGCGCGGCCAGGGCAGUGCCAGGCCAAGGGUGUAAGCCCCAGGGAAGGGGUGGGGGCUCAUGGUGAAGAGGAAGUGAGCCGCCCCGGGGCUGCCAGGAGGGUGAGGGGAGGGAAUCCCCGCAGAGGCUGCAGCACCCGUCCCCUACUCAGUCACCCUCAAAGGCUGGAUUUGAGGAAGGAAAAGCACCGCAGAGCUGCUGUAUUUAAAAAACAAGCGUCUGGAUCUCUGCAGGGGCUGGGAC
rnacentral:lncRNA from 10 species